GGGCCUUUAGCUCAGUUGGUAGAGCGUCACGUUUACACCGUGAAUGUCAUCGGUUCGAUCCCGGUAGGGCCCACCA
rnacentral:tRNA from 2 species